AUUGAACGCUGGCGGCAUGCCUUACACAUGCAAGUCGAACGGUAACGGGCCUUCGGUUGCCGACGAGUGGCGAACGGGGGAGUAAUACAUCGGAACGUGCCCGAUCGUGGGGGGUAACGAGGCGAAAGCUUUGCUAAUACCGCAUACGAUCUACGGAUGAAAGCCGGGGACCGCAAGGCCUUGCGCGGGCGGAGCGGUCGAUGGCAGAUUAGGUAGUUGGUGGGUUAAAAGCUUACCAAGCCGACGAUCUGUAGCUGGUCUGAGAGGAUGAUCAGCCACACUGGGACUGAGACACGGCCCAGACUCCUACGGGAGGCAGCAGUGGGGAAUUUUGGACAAUGGGCGCAAGCCUGAUCCAGCCAUGCCGCGUGCAGGAUGAAGGCCUUCGGGUUGUAAACUGCUUUUGUACGGAAAGAAAAGCCUUCUUUUAAUACAGGAGGGUCAUGACGGUACCGUAAGAAUAAGCACCGGCUAACUACGUG
rnacentral:rRNA from 1 species